CCACAGCACACAGGGGACACCGUGCUGGACAUCGUCACUGCCCAGUACAGUGGCACCAGUGAAGUGGUACCAGUGGCUUGAGACAGGCAGUCCUGCUCCAUGCUGGGGUAUCAGCUGCUGCAGAGCUGUCCCUGGACCCCCACGUUCCCCAAAUUGUGCCAAGGAGGAUGCUCAGGAGCAGUUCCAGCUGUCUGGAGACAGGGAGCUUUUGUGCCUUCCCGAGGCCUUUGCCAGGUGUGGUGCACUGGAGGGAACUGGUUUCCCAUCACGAGAUCCAUCCCAUACUGCGGAUCAGCUCGGACCUGGCUCCAUCCCUCCUUUCCUCGCCCACCAGCCUGGAGCAGCUCCAUGUGCCCGAGCACCCAGGUCCAGAUGGACCACCCCAAACCCAUCUGUACUAUCCACGGCAGUCAGAAAUGGUGCAAUAGCCCCAGAAAUACCCCGAGGGCAGCCGCGGUUUGCUGGGUCGCGCCGAGCGAGCGGGAGCGCGGCCUCAAUCCGGGCUGGCACUCCUGGAGCAGGCCUGUGGAAAAACACUCUGCCGUGACAUCACGCAGAGACACCAGCCCGCUGGUUAAUCUCCGAGGGCAGUGGCUGCUUUAUUUAUAACCAGGGAAGGGUUUGGGUGGGUUUUCACAGCAGUGGAGCAGCACGGGCUGCCUGCUCGUCAUCCCGGAGCAGCUGCCUUCGCCUGCACGGCUCUGUCUCCUCUGGACACAGCAACUUGGGGCUCUGGGGAGCCAAAACCAAACCUAAACCAGCCCUAAACCAGCACUGGAGCCCAGCUGGAGGGAUGGAUCCCACUGUGGCACCGGGGCACCUUGUCUGGAAUCCAGCUGUUUUCUUUGCUCCUGGAGUUUCUCCUUACCCUCCCCAGCAGACACAGCCCGGUUCCCCCCAAAACACAGCACAUCAAACUUGAAAUGUUUUGUGAAACUCUGUCAAGCUUUGGAGGAAAGUGAAGGUGGUCCCCAGGGCAAAAACAUUCUAUUUCUUCAAUUUCAAAAUAACAUUUC
rnacentral:lncRNA from 1 species